GGGCGCGUAGCUCAGUCCGGAUCCAGAGCGUCGGACUUCUAAUCCGACGGUCGCGGGUUCGAAUCCCGUCGCGCCCG
rnacentral:tRNA from 1 species